rnacentral:lncRNA from 1 species
GAAUCUAUUGUCUUAAUAGGCAUAUCAUCCAAUCCUAUAUUUGGAUUUGAUAUAAUCUCAUCUGAAAUUGGUUGAUUAUGUUAUUAGGUAGCCAAGUCUGCCUGAGAAAAAAAAAGAGUGUAGUCAGCCACUAGUUCAGGCGUGGGUGUAGUAACACGAGGCACCUGUGGCUUCAUGUCCUGCUGCAAUUGGUCAAAAAAAUUUCUUGAACAAAUAGGAAUUCUGCGAGGCACCUUCAUCUUAGGAUGGGAAAGAUAAAAAUGUCCCUACACAGGUAAUACUAUUGGGGAAGACUUACGACUACCCAAGAGACGAUAGAGGGUAGGGAGGUCAUUGGAUGGCCAUUCAAACUUGUGAUGGGGUGCUCCUCUUACCCAAGUUUCUUGUGCCAUGUGCUUGUGUUGAUAUCCUACAAAUCUGUUUCUUGAGGUAAACACCUCGUUACAGGUCCUGCACAUAUAGAACCAAACCCCAACUGUCUCCAUUUUGAUGUCUUGAUAUGCCAUUCCGAUUGUUAGGUGUUGUUAUAGUAUUUUUCAUGAAUGAUUUUUUGGAAAAUUUAAGAAAUGAAGUGGUGAGGAACUGAAUAAAUGACCAUUGAAAUACAUAGGAUUUAAACUUCUGAUAAAAUG